UUAUACCGUGAAACUGCGAAUGGCUCAUUAAAUCAGUUAUCGUUUAUUUGAUAGCACCUUACUACUUGGAUAACCGUGGUAAUUCUAGAGCUAAUACAUGCUAAAAACCCCGACUCCGGGAGGGGUGUAUUUAUUAGAUAAAAAACCAAUGCCCUCCGGGGCUCUUUGGUGAUUCAUGAUAACUUCACGGAUCGCAUGGCCUUGCGCCGGCGACGGUUCAUUCAAAUUUCUGCCCUAUCAACUUUCGAUGGUAAGGUCUUGGCUUACCAUGGUUUCAACGGGUAACGGGGAAUUAGGGUUCGAUUCCGGAGAGGGAGCCUGAGAAACGGCUACCACAUCCAAGGAAGGCAGCAGGCGCGCAAAUUACCCAAUCCCGACACGGGGAGGUAGUGACAAUAAAUACUGAUACAGGGCUCUUUUGGGUCUUGUAAUCGGAAUGAGUACAAUUUAAACCCCUUAACGAGGAACAAUUGGAGGGCAAGUCUGGUGCCAGCAGCCGCGGUAAUUCCAGCUCCAAUAGCGUAUAUUAAAGUUGUUGCAGUUAAAAAGCUCGUAGUUGAACCUUGGGCCUGGCUGGCCGGUCCGCCUCACCGCGUGUACUGGUCCGGCCGGGCCUUUCCUUCUGGAGAGCCGCAUGCCCUUCACUGGGUGUGCCGGGGAACCAGGACUUUUACUUUGAAAAAAUUAGAGUGUUCAAAGCAGGCCUUUGCUCGAAUACGUUAGCAUGGAAUAAUAGAAUAGGACGUGCGAUCCUAUUUUGUUGGUUUCUAGGACCGCCGUAAUGAUUAAUAGGGAUAGUCGGGGGCAUCAGUAUUCAAUUGUCAGAGGUGAAAUUCUUGGAUUUAUUGAAGACUAACUACUGCGAAAGCAUUUGCCAAGGAUGUUUUCAUUAAUCAGUGAACGAAAGUUAGGGGAUCGAAGACGAUCAGAUACCGUCGUAGUCUUAACCGUAAACUAUGCCGACUAGGGAUCGGGCGAUGUUUCUAUCUUGACUCGCUCGGCACCUUACGAGAAAUCAAAGUUUU
rnacentral:rRNA from 1 species